UACGGAGGAUGCGAGCGUUAUCCGGAUUUAUUGGGUUUAAAGGGCGCGUAGGCGGGCUUUUAAGUCAGCGGUAAAAAUUCGGGGCUCAACCCCGUCCGGCCGUUGAAACUGGGGGUCUUGAGUGGGCGAGAAGAGGGCGGAAUGCGUGGUGUAGCGGUGAAAUGCAUAGAUAUCACGCAGAACCCCGAUUGCGAAGGCAGCCUUCCGGCGCCCUACUGACGCUGAGGCACGAAAGUGCGGGGAUCGAACAGG
rnacentral:rRNA from 1 species